CUAAUCGUGCGUUACACAACUAGUCGCCUGGACGUAGGUAGAAACUCAGCAUAAAAAUGAACUUUGCCGAGAUCUAUUUGUGGAUGAAAGAAAAA
rnacentral:lncRNA from 1 species